rnacentral:rRNA from 1 species
CAGUCGCCGCGGUAAUACAGAGGGUGCAAGCGUUAAUCGGAAUUACUGGGCGUAAAGCGCGCGUAGGUGGUUUGUUAAGUUGGAUGUGAAAUCCCCGGGCUCAACCUGGGAACUGCAUUCAAAACUGACUGACUAGAGUAUGGUAGAGGGUGGUGGAAUUUCCUGUGUAGCGGUGAAAUGCGUAGAUAUAGGAAGGAACACCAGUGGCGAAGGCGACCACCUGGACUAAUACUGACACUGAGGUGCGAAAGCGUGGGGAGCAAACAGGAUUAGAUACCCGGGUAGUCCCUGUCUCUUAUAA